rnacentral:rRNA from 1 species
UACGUAGGGUGCAAGCGUUAAUCGGAAUUACUGGGCGUAAAGCGUGCGCAGGCGGUCCGCAAAGUCUGAUGUGAAAGCCCCGGGCUCAACCUGGGAAUUGCGCUUGAAACUAGCGAGCUUGAGUGUGGCAGAGGGGGGUGGAAUUCCACGUGUAGCAGUGAAAUGCGUAGAGAUGUGGAGGAACACCGAUGGCGAAGGCAGCCCCCUGGGUCAACACUGACGCUCAUGCACGAAAGCGUGGGGAGCAAACAGG